rnacentral:tRNA from 1 species
GCUAUUGUGGCGCAAUUUGGUAGCGCAAGUGUUUUGUAAGCACUAGGUUGUCUGUUCGAGUCAGAUCAAUAGCUCCA